GGGGGUUACGCGGGGAAGUGAAACAUCUCAGUACCCGUAGGAGAAGAAAAUAAUAAUGAUUCUGCUAGUAGUGGCGAACGAACGUGGAUGAGGCUAAACCGUGUGCAUGUGAUACCUGGUAGGGGUUGUGUGUGCGGUGUUGUGGGCCCUGAUGAGGAUGGCUACUGACGUCCUGCCCGCGCAUUGUUGUUAGGUGAAGUGGUGUGGAAACGCCUGCCGUAGAAGGUGAUAGUCCUGUAGCUGAAGAUGAUGGUGUGUGGGUUGUUGGGUUGCCCGAGUAGCAGCGGGCUCGUGGAAUCUGCUGUGAAUCUGCCGGGACCACCCGGUAAGCCUAAAUACUCAGUGUGACCGAUAGUGGAUAGUACCGUGAGGGAAUGGUGAAAAGUACCCCGGGAGGGGAGUGAAAUAGUUCCUGAAACCAUGUGCUUACAAUCCGUCAGAGCACUUUUUGUGUGUGAUGGCGUGCCUUUUGAAGAAUGAGCCUGCGAGUCAGCGGCAUGUCGCGAGGUUAACCCGUGUGGGGUAGCCGUAGGGAAACCGAAUCCUAAUGGGGUGUUUAGUGGCAUGUCCUGGACCCGAAGCGGGGUGAUCUACCCAUGGCCAGUGUGAAGCAGCAGUAAGAUGCUGUGGAGGCGCGAACCCACGUAGGUUGAAAACUGCGGGGAUGAGCUGUGGGUAGGGGUGAAAGGCCAAUCAAACUCCGUGAUAGCUGGUUCUCCCCGAAAUGCAUUUAGGUGCAGCGUCGCAUUAGCUUGGUGGAGGUAGAGCUACUGGUUGGUUGAGCGGGACUACAAUCUUAGCAAUGUCAGCCAAACUCCGAAUGCCAUUAAUGUGUUGUGCGGCAGUGAGACUGUGGGGGAUAAGCUUCAUAGUCGAGAGGGAAACAGCCCAGAUCGCCGGUUAAGGCCCCUAAGGGUGUGCUAAGUGGAAAAGGAUGUGGGAUCGCGAAGACAGCCAGGAGGUUGGCUUAGAAGCAGCCAUCCUUGAAAGAGUGCGUAAUAGCUCACUGGUCGAGUGGUUCUGCGCCGACAAUGUAGUGGG
rnacentral:rRNA from 1 species